UUAAUAAAUUGCUAUGAACAUAGGGUAUCAUAGCAAAAUACCACAGACUCAGUGGCUUAAAUAACAGAAAUUCGUUUUCUCACAGUUCUGGAGGCUGGAAGCCCACUGUCAAGGCCAUGACAGGUUUGGUGUCUUCUGAGGUCUUUCUCCUUGCCUUGCAGAUGGCACUGCCUUGUGCAACCCUCUGGAGGACAAAAUAUUACCUUGGCCACCACUUCUGAGGAUCUGAAGCUCUGAGAAGUCAAGUGACUUGCUCAAGAUCAUACAACUCGUUACAAGACAGAAAUGGGAUUUGAAUUCAGAUGGUCUGAUGAUGAACAAAGUCCAUACUUACAACCAUGAUAAAAGGACAAACAAACCCAAAUGCCUACAGGAUAUUAGACGCGAGGGAAUUGUGGGGAUGGUGGCAAACUGAAGAACUCCUGUCCUCUGUUCAGGAGGGUCCUGAUGCUCCUCACCAUCUGACUGUUGCCAGGUAGGGUCCUCUGAUUUUUUUCUAGGAGGAGCUGAGAAUCCAAAUCUUUACGUGGAAUCUCUUGAUUUUUCAUGGCAGUAAGUACUUUUUAUAUUUUGUAAGUCAUACAUGCCCACAAAUUGAAUUUAGUUUGUGGAUGUGUCAAUUAUGUUAAUUGAGAUUGUCAAUUUGACUGGAUGGAGAGACUCCUGGAGAGAUGAUUGGAUUGUGAGGGAAUUAACCUCAUUAGUGGAUUAAUUCACAGGUGAGGUCAUAGAUGAAUGGGCUAAGGAGGUGGAGCCUAGUUAGAAGAAGUGGGUCAUGGGAGAGUGACUUUGGGGACUACAUGUGGUCCUUAGUGCCUUCCUCUCUCAUUCUUCCCCUCUCUCUGCUUCCUGGGUGCCCUGAGUUGAGCAGUUUUCCUCCGCAAUGUACUUACACCAUGAUGUUUCUGCUUUGGAGCUGAAACCUCUGACCAUGGACUGAAACUGUGAGCCAAAAUAAAGCUUUCCUCCUCUAAAUUAUUGGUGCAGGUAUUUUGUUCUAGCAGUAGGAAACUGACUAAUAUAGUGGACUACCCACCCAUGACCUCAGUCUCCAUCCAUUGACCCUAGAUUCUGUGAACCAGAAGGAUCCUUGUCUUCUAAGGGAAGUACCACAGUGAUUUAAAGGUCCUCCAUGAAUCCUCACCUCUUAAAAGUGCCAUCAGCUUCCACAUUGCUAUACUAGGGUCCAUGAACCUAACAUAGGAUGCCUUGGAGGACAAACCACAUCCAAACCAUAGCAUCUCAUGACUCACAAAGAAGUAUUACUACUAUAAGAUGAGAAAGACACAGAUUGCUCCAAAAUAACCUCUUAUAGAGCUACACUGCCCAGUUUCAUAAUCAUUAGUUACAUAUGGUAUUUAUAUUUAAACUAAAAUAAGAUCAGAUGAAAAAAUUCAGCUCCCUAGAUAUACCAGAGAGCUUUCAUGUUGUUUGUGGCUACCAUAUCAUACAG
ensembl:lncRNA